rnacentral:lncRNA from 1 species
GAUGCUAGGCAGCUGAGCCGAGAUGGCAGGAUGAGGAACCCUGAGGAGAAGGCUCUGGUUACUCCAGAGGCACCACCAGUAGCAAAGGUCCCUAAAGCUAUGGCAAAGCAGCAGCCAGAGGAGGAACCAGUUUCUGCACCUGAAUCAGAUGCUGCUCAUGUUGCUCAGAAGACUGAGAAAGCUAAAAAUGCAUUGAAGGUAAAGAAUGCUGUUGUUGAUGAUGAUGAAGAUGAAUUAUAUGGUCUUGGAAAGCCGCAGAAAGAAGAAGAGAAAAAGAUUGAUGAAGCAACGGUGAGAGAGAUGAGAAAGCAAGAGGAGAUUGCUAAAGCCAAGCUAGCCAUGGAAAGGAAAAGCCAAAUGAAUGUAGAUGGUGUUCUCCUUGUAUCUGGACGGUUUGAGGGGAUAACUAAGCUUCCUGGGAACCUUCUUGAUGGUUUGGAGGGUGCUGAGGUCGUGCCUAAUCUGAAGGAAAAAGAGCUGUUGGAGCUGGAUGGCAAGAAGCUCCAAAUAAGGCAAGUUGGGGUUAAUGAGGAUCCUCCUGAUCCUAUGUGGGCUGGUGCAUGGAAUGAACUUGUCUGACUCUUCUGGACCAUUGGAUAGACUUCCUGAAUGCAUAGAUAUAUCUCCUGGUCGCCAAUGUCUGGUUUGAAGCUGAUUGAACUGGUUAGCUUCCAAUUGAGGCAAGUGUAGAACUGGUUUGACCGGUUUUGGAGAUUGGAUCAUAACUUCAUAACUAGAUUCUGACCCGCCCUUUAAAAGGGCGUGUAUAUUUUUUAUUUAAAAUUAUAUAAUUUAUCAAUUUAUUAUUUGAGAUUUUGUACGUAUAUUCUUAUUUCACAAUAUCAUUUUAUAUUUCUUAUUCAUUUUAUAAGAAUUAAAUUUGUUGAAUUGAUGAGAUAUAAGAUUUACUCGGUAUAUUUUAGACUAAAUCAAUAAUAUAUAUUUGGAGGGGUUUUCAUAGUUUUUACCAAUGUUUUUGUAUUUGAUCUAGAUCCGCGGUCGAACCGGUAAAUUCGGUGACCCAUAUAUAUUAUGGUUCAGAUUUAGUUAAAAUUCAAUAUUUAAAAACCAGAUAAAUCCGUAAAAAUCAUAAAGUCUGUUACUAACUCGCAAUCCGACACUGGUUGACCGGAUAAAAUCCAUAUAAAUCUGAUUAUAUUUGUUUUAAAAUGAUUCAACUUUUGAUAUAUUUUUAAUGGUACAUAAUUUAAAUAAACUAUAUGAUUUGUAAUUUUUUUAAUUUUGAUAAUGCUUUUACUAUAUCGUUUAAUUUUAAUGAAGAAAAUGGUGAUCAAAACUAAAAAGUAUAUAUUGUUUUUUUUUUGGAAAAAUUAUUAUAUAUAUUUUCUCAUUUAACUGUAUCCAUUUAUAAUUCUGAUCUUUGUUUUGUUUUAUAAACAUAUUUGUGGUUUAGCUCCAUGUCCCCAUCAUUUUUUUGUAUACGUAUGUAAGUCUUUAGUAAAUCAAAUAUAAAUAGCACAUUUUUAUUAUAUUUUUAUUGGGACCUCGAGAUUGUUUUUAACAAUUGUAACUCAUAAAAUGUAGUAUUUAUAUUUAUUAGCAAAAGAGACAAUGAUGUUUCGUAGUGAUACGUAGUUAUAAAAUAUGGACUACGUAUAUAUAUAUAUAUAUUUUUUGUAAGCUAAACUACGUAUAUUGAUAUUUUGUAGUCAUAAAAAAACCCAAUAAUAUUAUGGUUGAAGACGCCGUAAUAUUAACUUUCACAUGAGUGAGUAUGAUUUCAUAUUCUAUUUGUAAUCAAAUAUGAACAUGUCCAUGUUAUAAUGUUAUAUUAUGGUUGAUGUUACUAUUGAGCACGUAAACGCAUAGUUAUAAUGUUAUAAUGUUACAAAAAGAACCAGUUAUAAUGUUAUAUUAUGGUUGAUGUUACUAUUGAGCACGUAAACGCAUAGUUAUAAUGUUAUAAUGUUACAAAAAGAACCAGUUAUAAUGUUAUAUUAUGGUUGAUGUUACUAUUGAGCACGUAAACGCAUAGUUAUCAAUGUCAUAUUGGGUUUAACACAUUUAAAAAAUGCGGGUAGCUUUAUAGUUAUCAAUGUGUGUUACGGGGGUAUUAACUGUAAUAAAAAUAUAAUUAUAGAUACGUUAUUAGUUAUCCCGCAUCUUUACCAAAUUUCUGUUUUUGUUUGAUUAAAUAAAAUAUAUGGGUGCAGUUAUAAAAUAGUAGCAGCCGAUAAUUAGGCAAGAUAAGUGGUGGUUACAUCCACAAUAUAUAUGCAGUUACAUUAAAAAGCAUGUAUCAUUAAAAUUUUAAAUUGGACUCAACUAAUAUCAAUUGGGCAUGUUCCUGUUUUAAUAGUAUUGAUAAAUAACAUAGUUAUUUUGGUCUCUAAAUUUGUAUCAUCAAAAUUUAUUUAUUUUGCAUGAAGUUCCGAAAUUCUCAGCCCCAGUCCUAGUUCGAAGCGUACAUCCAAAAAGUCAAACUUGUUUUACUACAUACAUAGAAAAUACAAAACUGCCAAAGAAAGAAAUAUGGUUGAGACUUUGAAAACUUGACAACAAUGUGAAUUUAAUACUACUAUAAUAUACUUCAAUUUUCGUUGCUGAAAAGAAAGAAAUUAAGCGUAGCUGAAAAAAGUGGUAAGAAGUUAAUUAAUAACCUGAUUAGGUGGAAAAGCCUGAUCAUCUAAAAACAUAUCUCAAAAUCAAAAUUGAUUUGAGAAUUACCUUCUUGGUGUUAUUAGGAUGAUAUAGAAACGUAAGAGAAUAGAUUAAUAUAUAAAUGCUUCAACGUGAAGUAAAUACUUGUAUAUUGAUGAACUAAAGAUAGUGUAAUGAAUUUGUCAUGCAAAAAGCCUUUGUUAUUGAUGAGAUUAAUCAUUUAAGAAGAAAUUUUAUCAACAUAUUUUUUAUUAUCAUCUUUGGUCUUUAAUUUACCACUCAAAUCAUCUCUAAGUUGUUCAAUGGCAUAAGCAAGCCUCUCUUCCUUCAAGAUGUUGUUGUAGUGAAACCAUUCAUCAAGGUUCCUCUCCCAUAUUAGAUAACCUCUUUUUCCUGAAAAUGUAAAGAGUUUAAUUUUAUCAGCAAAAGAGAUAUAAUUAAAUUGAGAAUUAACAACAUGAUGUUUGUGGGUUUGAGAAGUUGGGGUUUGAUUGAUCCUUGAAGGAUCUGGUGGCUUGGGCUCGACAUAGACAGCCUCUGGUGCAUCUCCAAAUCUCCUUUCUCCUUGCUGUGGACGUUGGACUCGUGCCUUGUUUCUUUUCCUCAACUGAGCAAUCCGAUCAUUGAUCUCUUGCAAAGCUGUCAACUGUUGGUUCUGUUUGGCCAUCUGACUUUGGCCGUGUGUUUUUCCUACCAUGGCUUCCUGAAAACACUCUCAAAGAUCAAGUGAAGAUAUGAAAAAAAAUCCUGGUCGAAUCAAAAUAAGAACCAAAAAAAAAACAAGCUAAUUAAAAUUAAACCGAAACAAUUACAGUUAUGAACCGAAAUGAAAUAAACUAUGCUAAAAUAAUUUUUUCUUUUGGUUUUCUCAAUGCAAACACGAAAUGAACCAACUAAUAUGAUAUGAAACAAUAACUAGGAUGAUUUCUUUUGGCUUUUAAAUAUAUGGAUGCAAAUGAAAAGAAAUCAAAUUCAAAACAACACUUUUUAUGGGAUUUUCUUUUAUGGAAACUAAUGAAUGCAAACACUUUUCUUUUGGGAUUUUCGAUUUUAAAUGAAUCAAACAAAACUUUUUCUUUUCUUUUUCGUGGCUAUAUGAAACAAUAACUAGGAUGAUUUCUUUUGGAUUUUAAAUUUAUGGAUGCAAAUGAAAAGGAAUCAAAUUCAAAACAACACUUUUUAUGGGAUUUUCUUUUAUGGAAACUAAUCAAUGCAAACACUUUUCUUUUGGGAUUUUCGAUUUUAAAUGAAUCAAACAAAACUUUUUCUUUUCUUUUUCGUGGCUCUUAGCAGGAUGAACAGCAAGAACACAAAACAAAUGCAGAAACAAAACUUGAAACAAAGAAACAGUUUUUAUGGAUUUUCGGUUUAUGAUGAAAAACAAAUGCAAACAAAUAUGAAUGAUGCAAGGAUAGAGUGACCUGAUUCAGGAGCUUGAGCUCUGAUACCAAAAUGUUGUAGGCACAGGGGAUUUGGAGAUUGGAUCAUAACUUCAUAAUUCCGUGGCCAUUUCUCUUGAUAUUGGGCUUUCUGGAAAGAUGAGAAACUCCUCUUGACUCCAAUGAUGGGCUUUGCUUCAGGCCGCUUCUUCCUUGGGCUGGAAUCUCCUUCUAAAGUCGGGUACUCGCAGAUGGACGGGCUGGGAAACUUUUGACUUGUAAAAUUCAUAACUUCUUGCUCCGUGAAUAUUUUGGCUCGAUUCCAAUUGGGAUGGACUCCUUCUUGAGUAUACAAUCCAAUAAAAUUGGUUUCAUGUUGAAAGUCCUUCUGGUUGUAGAGAUAUACGCCUUGGACUGAACCUCGGUCGCUGGUACCUCCUAGAUGGCCGGUUUGGACGGUUUGGUGAGACUCUGGUUGAACCAUGGAUUUCGUGACCACAACACUAAGGUAAAGCAGCAGCCAGAGGAGGAACCAGUUUCUGCACCUGAAUCAGAUGCUGCUCAUGUUGCUCAGAAGACGGAGAAAGCUAAAAAUGCAUUGAAGGUAAAGAAUGCUGUUGUUGUUGAUGAUGAAGAUGAAUUAUAUGGUCUUGGAAAGCCGCAGAAAGAAGAAGAGAAAAAG